AAUGAACGCUGGCGGCGUGCUUUACACAUGCAAGUUGAGCGAGGCCACCCGCAAGGGUGAGUCGAGCGGCGAACGGGUGAGUAACGCGUGGAUAACCUGCCCUGAGGUGGGGAAUAACCCGGGGAAACUCGGGCUAAUACCGCAUGAUACCAAGCGGUCAAAGGGGGCUCGCAAGAGCUCCUGCCACAGGAGGGGUCCGCGUUCGAUUAGCUAGUUGGUAGGGUAAUGGCCUACCAAGGCGACGAUCGGUAGCUGGUCUGAGAGGACGACCAGCCACACUGGGACUGAGACACGGCCCAGACUCCUACGGGAGGCAGCAGGUGGGGAAUAUUGGACAAUGGGCGCAAGCCUGAUCCAGCG
rnacentral:rRNA from 1 species